rnacentral:rRNA from 1 species
AUUGAACGCUGGCGGCAGGCCUAACACAUGCAAGUCGAACGGUAACAGGAAGCAGCUUGCUGCUUUGCUGACGCGUGGCGGACGGGUGAGUAGUGUCCGGGAAACUGCCUGAUGGAGGGGGAUAACUACUGGAAACGGUAGCUAAUACCGCAUAACGUCGCAAGACCAAAGAGGGGGACCUCCGGGCCUCUUGCCAUCGGAUGUGACCAGAUGGGAUUAGCUAGUAGGUGGGGUAACGGCUCACCUAGGCGACGAUCCCUAGCUGGUCUGAGAGGAUGAGCAGCCACACUGGAACUGAGACACGGUCCAGACUCCUACGGGAGGCAGCAGUGGGGAAUAUUGCACAAUGGGCGCAAGCCUGAUGCAGCCAUGCCGCGUGUAUGAAGAAGGCCUUCGGGUUGUAAAGUACUUUCAGCGGGGAGGAAGGGAGUAAAGUUAAUACCUUGGCUCAUUGACGUUACCCGCAGAAGAAGCACCGGCUAACUCCGUG